rnacentral:rRNA from 1 species
GGGGGGGGCAAGCGUUGUUCGGAAUUACUGGGCGUAAAGGGCUCGUAGGUGGCCAACUAAGUCAGACGUGAAAUCCCUCGGCUUAACCGGGGAACUGCGUCUGAUACUGGAUGGCUAGAGAUUGGGAGAGGGAUGCGGAAUUCCAGGUGUAGCGGUGAAAUGCGUAGAUAUCUGGAGGAACACCGGUGGCGAAGGCGGCAUCCUGGACCAACACUGACACUGAAGAGCGAAAGCCAGGGGAGCAAACGGGAUUAGAUACCCCGGUAGUCCUGGCCCUAAACGAUGAAUGCUUGGUGUGACGGGUAUCGAUCCCUGUCGUGCCGAAGCUAACGCAUUAAGCAUUCCGCCUGGGGAGUACGGUCGCAAGGCUG